rnacentral:rRNA from 1 species
GCGACUGUUUAUCAAAAACACAGGACUCUGCCAACUCGCAAGAGGACGUAUAGAGUCUGACGCCUGCUCGGUGUCGGUAGGUUAAGGGAGCCGGUGACCGCAAGGGCAGCUGGCGACCGAAGCCCCGAUAAACGGCGGCCGUAACUAUGACGGUCCUAAGGUAGCGAAGUUCCUUGUCGGGUAAGUUCCGACCUGCACGAAUGGCGUAACGAUGGCCACACUGUCUCCUCCCGAGACUCAGCGAAGUUGAAGUGUUUGUGAUGAUGCAAUCUACCCGCGGCUAGACGGAAAGACCCCAUGAACCUUUACUGUAGCUUUGCAUUGGACUUUGAACCGAUCUGUGUAGGAUAGGUGGGAGGCUAUGAAACCGGAACGCUAGUUUCGGUGGAGCCGUCCUUGAAAUACCACCCUGGUUUGUUUGAGGUUCUAACCUUGGCCCGUGAUCCGGGUCGGGGACAGUGCAUGGUAGGCAGUUUGACUGGGGCGGUCUCCUCCCAAAGCGUAACGGAGGAGUACGAAGGUACGCUAGGUACGGUCGGAAAUCGUGCUGAUAGUGCAAUGGCAUAAGCGUGCUUAACUGCGAGACCGACAAGUCGAGCAGGUGCGAAAGCAGGUCAUAGUGAUCCGGUGGUUCUGUAUGGAAGGGCCAUCGCUCAACGGAUAAAAGGUACUCUGGGGAUAACAGGCUGAUACCGCCCAAGAGUUCAUAUCGACGGCGGUGUUUGGCACCUCGAUGUCGGCUCAUCUCAUCCUGGGGCUGUAGCCGGUCCCAAGGGUAUGGCUGUUCGCCAUUUAAAGAGGUACGUGAGCUGGGUUUAAAACGUCGUGAGACAGUUUGGUCCCUAUCUGCCGUGGGCGUUGGAUAUUUGAAGGGGGCUGCUCCUAGUACGAGAGGACCGGAGUGGACGAACCUCUGGUGUACCGGUUGUCACGCCAGUGGCAUCGCCGGGUAGCUAUGUUCGGAAGAGAUAACCGCUGAAAGCAUCUAAGCGGGAAACUCGCCUUAAGAUGAGAUAUCCCUGGGGACUAGAUCCCCUUGAAGGGUCGUUCGAGACCAGGACGUUGAUAGGCUGGGUGUGGAAGCGCAGUAAUGCGUUCAGCUAACCAGUACUAAUUGCCCGU